rnacentral:rRNA from 1 species
GACGAACCGAGCGAACGUUGUUCGGAAUCACUGGGCUUAAAGGGCGCGUAGGCGGGCUGCCGCGUCCGGGGUGAAAUCCCACGGCUCAACCGUGGAACGGCCCCGGGUACGGGCGGCCUCGAGGGGGGUAGGGGCGUGCGGAACUGUGGGUGGAGCGGUGAAAUGCGUUGAUAUCAUCAGGAACUCCGGUGGCGAAGGCGGCUCGCUGGACCUCUUA